AGUUUCCAGGGAUGGUAAUCGAACCCAUUGUGUUCCGCUUACCGGGCAGAUGCCAUGUCCACUAGGCUAUUUUUC
rnacentral:tRNA from 1 species